AGGAAUAUUUACAAGGUGAUCCGUCAAAGGCUGAGAGACUUAUGGGAUGGAAACCAAAGUGUUCUUUUGAUCAACUAGUGAAGGAGAUGGUUGAAAGUGAUCUUAACUUGAUGAAGAAGAAUCCAUUGGCUUAAACCGCCAGCUUAAGCUGCAAUACCCAAGAGAGCAACAUCGUGUUUAUAAAUUACCUCUAUAUCAAAUCAUCAUUGUGCCCACAAACCCACUUUUUAAUUUCUUUCUUUUAGCAAUGAACAUGUUCUAAAGAGUAUUCCUAGUUAAUGUUGUAUAAUGUAAUGUGGUUCCCGUUGUCAUUUUUGGCUUCCAUGUGCCAUUUACAAUAAUCCUUUAUUCUGUUAUAUUCCUUUUAAUGGUUAAAAGUAUCAUGCAGCAUAACAAAGAUAUUUUCUAACUUGUAGGUUUAUGUCAUUUUAAAUGAAUGAGAUAUAUAUAUUUGAUUUUAGAUACAAAUGUUGACCAAUGAUUUGAGAAGAAAGUUGAUUGAGUUGAUUGCCAUUUUGAUUUUGCCAGGAUCUACACAAUGCAUCAUGCAACAGUUGAAUUGGUGCUAAUCAUGCUUGUUUUAAGAUAGAGUAGCCAUGUUCAGUCUCUGUUUUUAUAGUAGUUGAUAGUAUAUUCCAAAUUCUAAGAAUUUCACUCUGAGAUUUGUAAAUCUGAAAAAAUUUGUAGUUUGGUUGAUUGGAUGUCUUUUGUUUUGCUGAUCUAGCAUUUUUGCUAACUUCAGUUUUCUCGCAUUCCCACAAUGUUCCAGUUCUUUGUGUUGCCAUUGCAAAGUUGGUUUUUAGAAUAUUUGUGAAAGUAUCUGUGGACUAGAAAAUAUUGCUCAAACAUGUAUUGCAUCCCUUCAAAGGUAUACUUUAUUAUAAUAACUCCAGUCGGUUACCAUUGCAAUGUCUUUCAGAAAAUUGUCUUCAUAUAUCUUAAGAUAUGAAAUUUGUAGUGCGUGGUAGUAUGGAAAGCUUGUUUGUUGCUGUAAAUAUGAAAACUUUAUAAAAAUAUGAAUGUAAGUGUUGAGAUAGAUAUGAAUAGGGAAACUUGCUGCUCACAAAGUAGUCGAGCAACAAAUAUUUUUUUUAAGGAACCUUCAUUGUAUGCCAUGAUGUAUUCCAUUGCAAGCAGUUGCUGCCUGUAUUAAGCACUUUAAUUCUGUUUUACUAAAAAUAUUUCCAGCUUUUUUCUUAUUUAUAGACUACAUUCCAUGGCGAUAGAAAACAAAAGAAGAACGAUAUUUUGGCUGAAAAUGUGUAUGAACUUUAAUACCAUAUUUUUCUUUACAAUUAUGUCUACAUAUCUUAAAUUUAGAAAGUCGAAUUAAAUUUGUCUGAAUCUGGAAAUUUUUCUGAAAACAUUCAUGCAUGUUUAUACCACAGAUUUAUACUUGAAAAAUUUGUCAUUACAUUGCUAUAAUGGUACACUAUUUGAGAUCUUGUGCGGGCAUUUGUUACCAUAAAUGAUCUUGGAAAAAAUGCCACGAGUCUAUUUCUCAAACGAAUUCUGGCAUGAAGUGAAGUAUAUUUAUUUCAGAAAAUAUUAUAAUCAGGAAUUGCAUGAAUAGAAUGGACUUAAUUAAUGGUGAAAAAAAGCAUUUGGUGAAAGGAAGAUAAAUCAGUUAUUCAAAUGCCUUGCUUUAAGAUAGGAUUGAUAAUCGUAUGGUAUAAUGUGAAGUGCCUUUAUGACUUAUUUGUAUACUUAUUUAAUUCCACCAACUCUGAAAAAUAUGGUGUUGGGUAAGCAACUUGUUAUAUAUUUAUACUAUUUAUUCUUCUCGAGUUUGUAGUUGGUAAUUAUAAUCAUUUCUAAAAUGAGAUACUAUUUUAUUUUUGCUGAGUAUAUGUUAAAUGAAUAUCUUAUUCUGCUAAACUGCAUAGGGAUAAAAGUUAUAACUAGUCAAACCAAAAAAUGAAGAAAAAAAUACAACUAUAUGUAGUGUGUUUAUGUUUAUCUUUUUUAUGCUAUUAGAAUAAUUUACAAAUUAAGAAUCGACUACAAAGAAGACAUCUCAUAAUCAAAUGGUUAUUCUUGUCUCAGUGUUUUUCUAUGUCUCUUCUGAAAUGAGAGUUUAAUUAUAAUUAUGUGAAUCUAUCUGUAAUUUCAAAAAUUCAUGUGUUGAAUAAUAUUGAAAAGGUAAAAAAAAAAAUUAUCAAAAUAUUUUAAUAUUGAUUUUAUUGCAGGUUUUGGAAGUUUCAAACCCGGGCUGAUGGGAAAAUAUAUUGAUCUGCAUUGUGUAUCAUGUAUAGGGUAACGUGUCUAUUUUCAUUAGGAAUGGAGGGGUUUCUUACAUUAGAUUGAUUAAACCAAAAAAAUACAUUGAAAUGUUUGCAAGUUCUUUUGAAGUGCAAUGUGGCAAUGAGAAGCAUUAUUAAUUUUAUGUUCUAUCUACACAAUUAUAUUUUAGUGAUUAGGAACAACUUAUCCCUUUUAUGCCAUUUUGUAAUUGUAUUUUUAGUUUACUGACCCGCCACCACACCCCCUUCCCUCCCCCAUCGCCACUCUCCAACCACACCCCUUUCACUCUUACAUAUUGGUAAACUGCUUACUUCUCCACCACCCCGUCCACCACAUACUUGACAACUCUGCCUAUUCCUAUUACACCCUUCUCAUCUACCCCCUAUCCCCCUUCUCCCAUGUUACCCCCCUCCCUAUCACACCCUUUCACUACCCUCCCCCCCCCCCCCCCCGACAAAUCCGUCCGCAAUCCCUUUCUCCUACUCCUCUUAUCUGAGUGUUGUCACUAGCCUGUCAUGUCCCAUCAUCGCGAUGGCAAGAGCGUGGAGAACGAGAGCAGGAGUGGACCAGAUUUGAGGCAAUUUGUCACGAAAAAAUAGGCGAAAAGAGCAGAGGGGAAAAAUCAAUCGGGGGCUAGGCAAUCUUGCGGAAAUCCUCCUCGCUGUGUGGUCUCCAUCUUCAUAUUUUUCAUCUCGCUAUCGUGACAGUUGUCGCUUAUCCGCCCUACUCGGGCUUAUCCCCCCGAUGAGGUUAGCAAAGGGCGUAGGUCUUGGGGUUGGAGCGGGUGGGGUUAUAGGUGCGGUUUGGGGAUGGAAGCAGUGGGUAUUAUCUGGUUCCCAGAUUGAGGGAUGAUGUAUGGGGGUGGGGUGGUUUGGAUAAAGCUUGGCGGGUAUAUCCUUUUCUCUUUUUGAUGUAUUACUGUUUACAUUUUCAGUCAUUUUAGUUUCCUCACCACCUUGCGCAAAUAGCAUUAUUUUGUAUAUUUCUGGAUUCUGUAAUGAAUAACUUUUAUAUCUCUACUUCUCUUGAAUCGUCAUGUCUGACGAAAUUGAUAGCAUUUCUAUCAAAUAAAAUCGAAGGGAACAAGAAAGAAUAAUU